rnacentral:tRNA from 1 species
GCCGAUGUAGCUCAGAUGGCAGAGCACUGCUUUCGUAAAGCAUAGGUCGUCGGUUCGAUUCCGACCAUCGGCUCAA